UACGGAGGGAUGCGAGCGUUUAUCCGGAUUUAUUGGGCGUAAAGGGCUCGUAGGCGGUUCGUCGCGUCCGGUGUGAAAGUCCAUCGCUUAACGGUGGAUCCGCGCCGGGUACGGGCGGGCUUGAGUGCGGUGAGGGGAGACUGGAAUUCCCGGUGUAACGGUGGAAUGUGUAGAUAUCGGGAAGAACACCAAUGGCGAAGGCAGGUCUCUGGGCCGUUACUGACGCUGAGGAGCGAAAGCGUGGGGAGCGAACAGG
rnacentral:rRNA from 1 species